AAUAAUUAUGUAAACUAAAUAUCUAUAUAUAUAAAUAUGAAAAUUUAUAUACCCGCACAGUUGUGCGGGUAGAAAUCUAGUAUUCUCUUAAAGUCUAUAUGUAUUCGGGUAGAAAUCUAGUAUUCUCUUAAAGUCUAUCUAAUACAUACUUCAGACGUCUCUAUAUACAGCAUACCACAGCCGCUUAAGAAAAAGACACUGAACAUCGCUGGCUUGAUAAGUGUGGGAUGCGCUAAGUUUUUCUAAGAAAACUACAUUUGAAAACUAUCAUAUUAUAAAGUUUCUUGGAAGGUUAUUUUCUAACUUUGUUCAAUGAUCGAAGGGUAUUAUAGUCUUAAUAGAUGAACCGUUGUAUGGUAUCCGUUGGGAAGGAGGGAAUGCUAUUUCCAUCUGUUGCUUACAGAGACGUGUUCCUGGAUUUAAGGAUCUUGAGUUAAAACUUUUUGAGAAAAUUGCCAAAACGGAACAAAAAUUUAGCACUGUUGUCUCUUUGGUAUAAAAUCAUCAUUAAGUUGUCCCUAUGGUAUAAUAUUUUUCAUAAUCCCAAAAUUAACCCUGGAUUAAUAAAAUUAAACACAAUUUAAAAGUUAAAAUGAAUUUUAAAAAGUCUAAUAAAAAUAAACAAACGUUUUAGAAAGGCAAAAUAAAUUAAAAUAAAAAUAAAAGAAAAAGGCUCAAAAACCCGUAACCUAACUGUUUGUUUCUCCGCCUCUCUCUCUCAAUCUAGACGAACAAGAAGGAGAUUCUGUGUCUUCUCCGGUGAAAUCAACGACGAGUCUACCAACCGAUGAAAUCGAGCUUUCCACCGUGGGUUUGAUCGAAUCUCUCCCCUUCGUCUUACUCCACUUCUCUCGCUCCACGAACAAGAAAGCGAUUUCAGAGCUUCUCUAGAUGAUUUGUGAAAUAGACUCUCUCUUCCGGCGGAAGCCCUUCAUCUUGUUCUCUCCGCCUCUCUCUUUCUCCGACAUCGCUAGCCGUGAGGGAGAUGAUUUUUGAACAGAUGCUUUGUCUUUGGAAGUGAUGUGGGCUGAUCAAGAUGCUAUUAGAGCUGGAGUUGGGAAGUAGCCGUGGAGAAGAAUCAGGCAGCUAGCACUUCCCACGGAUGAUCUGUUGCUCUGUACGAUCGCGGCGUUGGUAUAGGAAACUGAUCAUACAAAAAUACAGUAGUAUGAAGAAUAUUGCGGAAGAGAAUAAUAGCAUGGCUGGUCAGCUUGAUGUCUGGAAGCUUCUUGAUGAUGCGCAUCACUUUGUCGUGAGACUGUUUUUUUUUCCACAAUUGUAUUAUGGAUAAUAUAAGUUCAAUUGUAGCUAUUCCAUUUCUCGCUUC